AAAACUAAAGGACAUCUGACACAAGAAACUAGCAGUGCUAACUAGCCAAAAUUGAGAUGUCACUUGGAUUAAGAAAGUUAAUGCAUUUAACAAGCAAAGAGCUCAUUUUAUAUUUUGUCUCGUAACAUAACAAAGAUGAAAAUCAGAAAUAACUUU